UAUGGUGCGUCUCUUGAAUGUCAAAACGACUCUCGGCAACGGAUAUCUCGGCUCUCGCAUCGAUGAAGAACGUAGCGAAAUGCGAUACUUGGUGUGAAUUGCAGAAUCCCGUGAACCAUCGAGUCUUUGAACGCAAGUUGCGCCCGAAGCCUUCGGGCCGAGGGCACGCCUGCCUGGGC
rnacentral:rRNA from 1 species